AGAGUUUGAUCCUGGCUCAGAACGAACGCUGGCGGCAGGCCUAACACAUGCAAGUCGAACGAGACGCCGUGCUUCGGCACGGCCGAGAGUGGCGCACGGGUGAGUAACGCGUGGGAACCUAUCCUCUGGUUCGGGACAACCGCGGGAAACUGCGGCUAAUACCGACUACGCCCCGGAACGUAAGUUUCGGGGGAAAGAUUUAUCGCCGGAGGCGGGGCCCGCGUCGGAUUAGCUUGUUGGUGAGGUGACGGCUCACCAAGGCAUCGAUCCGUAGCUGGUCUGAGAGGAUGAUCAGCCACACUGGGACUGAGACACGGCCCAGACUCCUACGGGAGGCAGCAGUGGGGAAUAUUGGACAAUGGGCGCAAGCCUGAUCCAGCCAUGCCGCGUGAGUGAAGAAGGCCCUAGGGUUGUAAAGCUCUUUCACCGGGGAAGAUAAUGACGGUACCCGGAGAAGAAGCCCCGGCUAACUCCGUGCCAGCAGCCGCGGUAAUACGGAGGGGGCUAGCGUUGUUCGGAAUUACUGGGCGUAAAGCGCGCGUAGGCGGCCAGCCAAGUCCGGGGUGAAAGCCCGGGGCUCAACCCCGGAACGGCCCUCGAAACUGACUGGCUCGAGACCGGGAGAGGAGAGUGGAAAUCCCAGUGUAAA
rnacentral:rRNA from 1 species